UGGGGAAUAUUGCACAAUGGGCGCAAGCCUGAUGCAGCCAUGCCGCGUGUAUGAAGAAGGCCUUCGGGUUGUAAAGUACUUUCAGCGGGGAGGAAGGGAGUAACGUUAAUACCUUUACUCAUUGACGUUACCCGCAGAAGAAGCACCGGCUAACUCCGUGCCAGCAGCCGCGGCAAUACGGAGGGUGCAAGCGUUAAUCGGAAUUACUGGGCGUAAAGCGCACGCAGGCGGUCUGUCAAGUCGGAUGUGAAAUCCCCGGGCUCAACCUGGGAACUGCAUCUGAUACUGGCAAGCUUGAGUCUCGUAGAGGGGGGUAGAAUUCCAGGUGUGGCGGUGAAAUGCGUAGAGAUCUGGAGGAAUACCGGUGGCGAAGGCGGCCCCCUGGACGAAGACUGACGCUCAGGUGCGAAAGCGUGGGGAGCAAACAGG
rnacentral:rRNA from 1 species